CGCCCUGAAGGGGCCCCCGGCCCCCCCGGGACGGGACCCGGCCCCAGCUUCUUCGGGAGGCAGCAGGGGGGAAUAUUGCCCAAUGGCGGAAAGCCUGAUGCACCGCCCCCCCGUGAGGGAAGAAGGCCUUCGGGUUGUAACCUCUUUCAGCAGGGAAGAAGCGCAAGUGACGGUACCUGCAGAAGAAGCGCCGGCUAACUACGUGCCAGCAGCCGCGGUAAUUCGUAGGGCGCAAGCGUUGUCCGGAAUUAUUGGGCGUAAAGAGCUCGUAGGCGGUUUGUCGCGUCCUGGUGUGAAAACUCGAGGCUCAACCUCGAGCUUGCAUCGGGUACGGGCAGACUAGAGUGCGGUAGGGGAGACUGGAAUUCCUGGUGUAGCGGUGGAAUGCGCAGAUAUCAGGAGGAACACCGAUGGCGAAGGCAGGUCUCUGGGCCGCAACUGACGCUGAGGAGCGAAAGCAUGGGGAGCGAACAGGAUUAGAUACCCUGGUAGUCCAUGCCGUAAACGUUGGGCACUAGGUGUGGGGCUCAUUCCACGAGUUCCGUGCCGCAGCAAACGCAUUAAGUGCCCCGCCUGGGGAGUACGGCCGCAAGGCUAAAACUCAAAGGAAUUGACGGGGGCCCGCACAAGCGGCGGAGCAUGCGGAUUAAUUCGAUGCAACGCGAAGAACCUUACCAAGGCUUGACAUGCACGAGAAGCCACCAGAGAUGGUGGUCUCUUUGGACACUCGUGCACAGGUGGUGCAUGGUUGUCGUCAGCUCGUGUCGUGAGAUGUUGGGUUAAGUCCCGCAACGAGCGCAACCCUCGUCCCAUGUUGCCAGCGGGUUAUGCCGGGGACUCAUGGGAGACUGCCGGGGUCAACUCGGAGGAAGGUGGGGAUGACGUCAAAUCAUCAUGCCCCUUAUGUCUUGGGCUUCACGCAUGCUACAAUGGCCGGUACAAAGGGCUGCGAUACCGUAAGGUGGAGCGAAUCCCAAAAAGCCGGUCUCAGUUCGGAUUGGGGUCUGCAACUCGACCCCAUGAAGUCGGAGUCGCUAGUAAUCGCAGAUCAGCAACGCUGCGGUGAAUACGUUCCCGGGCCUUGUACACACCGCCCGUCAAGUCACGAAAGUCGGUAACACCCGAAGCCCAUGGCCCAACCGUUCGCGGGGGGAGUGGUCGAUAGUGAUCCGCCG
rnacentral:rRNA from 1 species